rnacentral:rRNA from 1 species
AGAGUUUGAUCAUGGCUCAGGAUGAACGCUGGCGGCGUGCCUAACACAUGCAAGUCGAGCGAAGCACUUUACUUUGAUUCUUCGGAUGAAGAGUUUUGUGACUGAGCGGCGGACGGGUGAGUAACGCGUGGGUAACCUGCCUCAUACAGGGGGAUAACAGUUAGAAAUGACUGCUAAUACCGCAUAAGACCACAGCACCGCAUGGUGCAGGGGUAAAAACUCCGGUGGUAUGAGAUGGACCCGCGUCUGAUUAGCUAGUUGGUAAGGUAACGGCUUACCAAGGCAACGAUCAGUAGCCGACCUGAGAGGGUGACCGGCCACAUUGGGACUGAGACACGGCCCAAACUCCUACGGGAGGCAGCAGUGGGGAAUAUUGCACAAUGGGGGAAACCCUGAUGCAGCGACGCCGCGUGAGCGAAGAAGUAUUUCGGUAUGUAAAGCUCUAUCAGCAGGGAAGAAACUGACGGUACCUGACUAAGAAGCACCGGCUAAAUACGUGCCAGCAGCCGCGGUAAUACGUAUGGUGCAAGCGUUAUCCGG